rnacentral:lncRNA from 1 species
UACCAAACUGCUAGAGUUGUUGGAAGGCUUAGAUUCUAGAUAAAACAACGCAUGUGAAAGACUGCAAACUGUUAAGCACUAUGCAAAUGUAAGGUGCUGCUAUGAUACUUAUUGUUGUUGUUGUUCCAGAUCUUUGAUGAAGAGUACAAUGUCUGGUUCCUAGACUGGGGUGGCGCCCUCGUGGCCAUGAAACACACUCCUCUGCCAGUAAGGCACCUGUGGGUGAGUUUUGACGAGGGCCGCUCCUGGGACAAGUAUGGCUUCACUCCGCUUCCUCUUUUCGUGGAUGGGGCUCUGGUGGAGGCAGGCGUGGACACCCACAUCAUCACAGUUUUUGGCCACUUCAGCCUCCGCUCCGAGUGGCAGUUGGUGAAAGUAGACUACAACUCCAUCUUUAGCCGGCGCUGCACCAAGGAGGACUAUCAGACAUGGCACCUGCUCAAUCAGGUACAGCCAGGGUGGGCAGGGUGGGGCGUGCUGGCCUUGGGAGAGGUGCUGUGCACACUGGGUGUGGCCUUCGAGGGCCUUCCUGUGUGGGGGAGGGCGAUAAUGGGCCACCCAGGCUGCGGUGGGGGUUUCAGGGGGUGGGUUGGACACACUCAGCCCAGCAACACCUUAGAAUCUUAG